AUACUGUACUUAUGGUAGUAAUAUACUGUGUAUCAUCAUAUUGAGACUAUAUUGUUCCAUUUCUGCAGAUUCAGAAGCUCCUGAUUGUUUUGCUGGCACGUCCAAUAACAACGGACACAGUCAGGAGCAAGAUUCUGACCCAAAGGAAGAUGAAAAUUCCACCUCUUCCGCUCUUCCAUCAGUAGUAAGUAGAUUCUACGGAUAUUAUUCUUUAACAGGCACAGGAGCUUAUGAGCCAUCUUAAGUUUAACAAAAGCCAGUGUGUGCAACUGGAUGAGAAAAACUUUUCUAGGUUUUCAAGGUUCUCAUUCAUUCUUAGAAGAGCACAUAUGAAAUUCAUGCAAUAUUCAUCCUGUAUAUAAUACUCAUUCAUCCUUUGUUUACAGCUCCAAAUUCCUGAAUUGGGCUCAGAUUUUGACAACAAAAUACAGGGCGCAGAAGGACCAUCGAUCAGCCCUGUUGAGCCCAGAUCUCCCUCACUUGACCAUUUCAACCUGGGACAAGUGUUGGGAGAAGGAGGAUUUGGGAAGGUAUUCCUAGCCCAGCACAAGAACACCGAAGUGCUAUAUGCCAUCAAGGCCCUGAAAAAAGAUCAAGUUUUGGAAAAGGGCAAUUUGGACAGGUCAGUGAUAGGGUAGAGAUUAAUACUGGCCAUGUCUGUGUCAUGUUAUUCUUGUUAUAUUCAGCUUUAUAUGUAGGAUAUGUUUAUAUUUCCAUUUGGUUAUUAACUGCUGUGUUGCCCUGUGUCUGUUCAUAAGGCUAAAGGGUAAGUGUAAUGUUCCCUUGUGUGGGCUUCACAUGGUGAUAAUGGGAUGAUUUACCCUUACAGUGUCUUCCAUGAGAAGGAAAUCCUUCAGAGGGUAAGCUCUUCUGAACACCCGUUCCUGGUGUCAUUGCAUGGAACCUUCCAGACGGCAUCUCACCUGUUUUAUGUGAUGGAAUAUCUCCCUGGAGGUGACAUGUUUGAAUUUAUACGAUCUGUGGAACUAGAAGAGCCUGAUGUCAUGUAAGUAGAAUGGGACUGGGGGGGAGGUUCUUAAGGGGGUACUUUCAGUGUAGCAUCACCACAGUAUAUAUUUUUAAAAUGUAAUGUAAUACAAGCAAGGUAUACCUAUGAUACAGGUAACUGCUUUUCUUCUCACUAUGAUUAGCUUAAUUCUCACACAUAGCUUAUAUAUCAAUAAAAAAAUAUUAAAGUAAAUUAAUUUUAUUUUUUCUCUAUUCAGGUUUUACACCGCAUGCAUUGUUCUUGGCCUGGAGGCAUUACAUCAGCUUGGCAUUGUCCAUAGGUAAGCAUUAAUAACACUAAAAUCAUCUUUAUUUCCAGAUGGAGCUACUGAGAACUACUACUAAAAACACUUCUAAUCUAUCUUGUAGCACUGUAAUAAUUUGCUUGAUGUUAUUAUAAGGAUUAUAUAUGUAUACCUACUAAACUAUUGACUUGGUUUUAAUUCAGAGAUCUAAAGCUUGAGAAUUUGCUGUUGGACCGGGAUGGCUACCUUAAGAUCGUAGACUUCGGCCUCAGCAAAGACAGUAAGUGCUGCUUAUAAUUCUGGAGCAUACAAGGGAUUAGAUCAUAUUAUUAGGUAUUGUUAUAUUUAGAUAAAACAGAUCUGAGUGGGUGUGUAGUUAGGAAGCAAGCAGUUAAGGAAAAUCCCUCAUUACUUUACAUUAUGGCCCCAGAUCUGCAGUUUCCUCACAGUGUUUCUUGUGUUUAAGGAUUUGGAUACAGCGACCGCACAAACACCAUAUGCGGCACAAAAACAUACAUGGCCCCGGAAAUAUAUCUAAAACUUGGAUACGGCAUGGCCGCUGACUGGUGGGCCCUAGGAAUCACCGUUUAUAUUAUGCUCCUGUAUGAGUUACCAUUCAACCAUAAAGAUCCAGUCGAGCAAAUGAUGAGCAUCCUUUAUGAUGACAUCAGCUUACCAGAAGACCUUUCAGAGGAUGCCUCAACACUAAUAAAAGAACUGUUAGAAAAAGAUCCAGAAUUUCGCCUCGGUUCGGGUGACGUCGGGGCUGAAAUGGUUAAAGAGCACCCCUUCUUCAGAGAUAUGGACUGGGACCAUCUGUUGCAGAGACGAAUAACUGCUCCUUAUUUACUGGAGAAUGAAGACCACCAGGAGAGCCAAGAGAACCCUGGAUGCCAAGCUCCAGCACUGCCACCAUCUGCUGCAAGGAUUCCAUCAGAGCUGCAAGAGGCAUUCAGAGGAUUCUGAGAGAACAUCACAUACACCUAAAUGAACAUCGGCUAAGUAGACGGAAUAGAUGGGGAGGGUGGAGGGCCAGUCCAUAUCCAUAUAAGAAGUCCAUUCAUAUAAAAUGACUAUCAGGUGUCCCACCUCAAUAAGUUCUGACUGAGAAGGCUAAUGUAGGAAUAGCCUUCUCAUGCACUGUAAAAUAUUCAAAUCCUCACCUGUAUAACAGGCAAGUAAGAUCUAAUAGAAGGUAAGACACAAACAACUGUAACAUCCUGCCUGGAUUUGAACCAGCACCCUGCAGGUUACUAUGCAGUCUGUUAUAACUCUGCUCUAUGUAAGCAGAUAAGUAGGUGCUUGGUUCAAUUUGCCCCACAAUACAUUCUGUCCUUACCGGCUGGUAAAAUCAGGUAAAAUCUUACCUUGGUAAGAAACAAACCAACAGUUGUCACUACCUCACCUUGUUUUUAUUUGCUUCCUGGUUAGGUUGCUGUUGCCCACCAUGGGAGAUCUAAAGAAGAAGAUAUUGCUUUUAUUUGCUUGCUGGUUAGGUUGCAGUUGGCUACCUUGGGAGAUCUAUAGAAGAAGAUGAAGAAGGUUUCCAUGUUUAUCAACCCAAGAUGUGAAACGGAGUGGCAACAGUCAAAGGAAAUCUUAUUCCACGAGGAAGAUCAUGGAUCGUGUUCGAAACAUUGUACUAAACACUGAUUGUAGUCCUUGAGAAGAAAGAAGACUGUACCCCACCUGCCAAGAGCUGCCCACUUUGCCUCCCCUAAUAGGCACCAUGUAAGGAGGCCCGGGUGUCCGGCGCAAGUUCUUAUCUCUAUGCACGUUGGUUCUUGCUGCCUGCCACUGAACUUUGCCUGACUUUGAUUCUGUAUGAUCCCUCCUGUACCGCAUUUUAGAAAAUAACCUUGGCCGUAAGUAGGAUCCCUGUCUAUCCCGCCGCAGAAAGCCCAGGGCCCCAAAAGGGCGUUGGUGAACACCGGGAUCGGCAGGGCUCUCCUGCCUUACUUAAGAGGUUAUUCCCUGCCAGUUUCAGGCUCCUAUAAAUACAGUCUGUUACACACCAUUUCAUACAUAACUGGUUUGUUAA